AAAUUGAAGAGUUUGAUCAUGGCUCAGAUUGAACGCUGGCGGCAGGCCUAACACAUGCAAGUCGAACGGUAACAGGAAACAGCUUGCUGUUUCGCUGACGAGUGGCGGACGGGUGAGUAAUGUCUGGGAAACUGCCUGAUGGAGGGGGAUAACUACUGGAAACGGUAGCUAAUACCGCAUAACGUCGCAAGACCAAAGAGGGGGACCUUCGGGCCUCUUGCCAUCGGAUGUGCCCAGAUGGGAUUAGCUAGUAGGUGGGGUAACGGCUCACCUAGGCGACGAUCCCUAGCUGGUCUGAGAGGAUGACCAGCCACACUGGAACUGAGACACGGUCCAGACUCCUACGGGAGGCAGCAGUGGGGAAUAUUGCACAAUGGGCGCAAGCCUGAUGCAGCC
rnacentral:rRNA from 1 species